ensembl:snRNA U6 U6 spliceosomal RNA
GUGCUCGUUUUAGCAGUAGACAUAUUAAAGUUGGAAUGAAACAGAGAAGAUUAGCAUGGCCCCUGCACAAGGAUGAUAUGAAAAUUUGUGAAGUGGUCCAUAUUUUU